rnacentral:rRNA from 1 species
GACGAACGCUGGCGGCGUGCUUAACACAUGCAAGUCGAACGGAAAGGCCCUGCUUUUGUGGGGUGCUCGAGUGGCGAACGGGUGAGUAACACGUGAGUAACCUGCCCUUGACUUUGGGAUAACUUCAGGAAACUGGGGCUAAUACCGGAUAGGAGCUCCUGCUGCAUGGUGGGGGUUGGAAAGUUUCGGCGGUUGGGGAUGGACUCGCGGCUUAUCAGCUUGUUGGUGGGGUAGUGGCUUACCAAGGCUUUGACGGGUAGCCGGCCUGAGAGGGUGACCGGCCACAUUGGGACUGAGAUACGGCCCAGACUCCUACGGGAGGCAGCAGUGGGGAAUAUUGCACAAUGGGCGGAAGCCUGAUGCAGCAACGCCGCGUGCGGGAUGACGGCCUUCGGGUUGUAAACCGCUUUCGCCUGUGACGAAGCGUGAGUGUCGGUAAUGGGUAAAGAAGCACCGGCUAACUACGUG